CUUAACACAUGCAAGUCGAACGGAAAGGCCCUGCUUUUGUGGGGUGCUCGAGUGGCGAACGGGUGAGUAUCACGUGAGUAACCUGCCCUUGACUUUGGGAUAACUUCAGGAAACUGGGGCUAAUACCGGAUAGGAGCUCCUGCUGCAUGGUGGGGGUUGGAAAGUUUCGGCGGUUGGGGAUGGACUCGCGGCUUAUCAGCUUGUUGGUGGGGUAGUGGCUUACCAAGGCUUUGACGGGUAGCCGGCCUGAGAGGGUGACCGGCCACAUUGGGACUGAGAUACGGCCCAGACUCCUACGGGAGGCAGCAGUGGGGAAUAUUGCACAAUGGGCGGAAGCCCGAUGCAGCAACGCCGCGUGCGGGAUGACGGCCUUCGGGUUGUAAACCGCUUUCGCCUGUGACGAAGCGUGAGUGACGGUAAUGGGUAAAGAAGCACCGGCUAACUACGUGCCAGCAGCCGCGAUGAUACGUAGGGUACGAGCGUUGUCCGGAUUUAUUGGGCGUAAAGGGCUCGUAGGUGGUUGAUCGCGUCGGAAGUGUAAUCUUGGGGCUUAACCCUGAGCGUGCUUUCGAUACGGGUUGACUUGAGGAAGGUAGGGGAGAAUGGAAUUCCUGGUGGAGCGGUGGAAUGCGCAGAUAUCAGGAGGAACACCAGUGGCGAAGGCGGUUCUCUGGGCCUUUCCUGACGCUGAGGAGCGAAAGCGUGGGGAGCGAACAGGCUUAGAUACCCUGGUAGUCCACGCUGUAAACGGUGGGUACUAGGUGUGGGGUCCAUUCCACGGGUUCCGUGCCGUAGCUAACGCUUUAAGUACCCCGCCUGGGGAGUACGGCCGCAAGGCUAAAACUCAAAGGAAUUGACGGGGCCCCGCACAAGCGGCGGAGCAUGCGGAUUAAUUCGAUGCAACGCGUAGAACCUUACCUGGGUUUGACAUGGAUCGGGAGUGCUCAGAGAUGGGUGUGCCUCUUUUGGGGUCGGUUCACAGGUGGUGCAUGGCUGUCGUCAGCUCGUGUCGUGAGAUGUUGGGUUAAGUCCCGCAACGAGCGCAACCCUUGUUCACUGUUGCCAGCACGUUAUGGUGGGGACUCAGUGGAGACCGCCGGGGUCAACUCGGAGGAAGGUGGGGAUGACGUCAAGUCAUCAUGCCCCUUAUGUCCAGGGCUUCACGCAUGCUACAAUGGCUGGUACAGAGAGUGGCGAGCCUGUGAGGGUGAGCGAAUCUCGGAAAGCCGGUCUCAGUUCGGAUUGGGGUCUGCAACUCGACCUCAUGAAGUCGGAGUCGCUAGUAAUCGCAGAUCAGCAACGCUGCGGUGAAUACGUUCCCGGGGCUUGUACACACCGCCCGUCAAGUCAUGAAAGUUGGUAACACCCGAAGCCGGUGGCCUAACCGUUGUGGGGGAGCCGUCGAAGGUGGGACUGGUGAUUAGGACUAA
rnacentral:rRNA from 1 species